UCAUUUUUUUCAUCUUCUUUUCUCUCGCAGCCUCGUCUCUGUUCUUUAACUUAGGGUUGAUGUUAAUCGUGGGUGGGACUUGAGAUACAAAAUUACAAAUCUUUUGGUUCAAUUAUUCUUCUUCUUCAUCACCCGGUUAAUAUCAGGGAAAGAACAUGAGGCAGUGAAUGGAAUAAUGAAAUUGAAGUGCAGUGAGCUGUAGAUAAUGGUGUUGAUGUUGUGCUGUUAAGGCGAGAAAACAAUGAGAAGAUUGAUGUUUCUUCCAUUGGUUUGUAGGGAAUUUGUUGAAUGAAUGCUUCUGUCAUGAUUUUUGUAGAUAAUGGUAUUGAUGUUGUUCUUUACAGGGAUUAGUUGAAUGAAUGCUUGUUAACUGAUACUCUGAUCUAUGGAAUUGUAUAAUUUUUUCGUUCACUGCAAUUUUAAUUAUGUAA